rnacentral:rRNA from 1 species
CCUACGGGGGGCAGCAGUGAGGAAUAUUGGUCAAUGGGCGCGAGCCUGAACCAGCCAAGUAGCGUGAAGGAUGCCUGCCCUACGGGUUGUAACCUUCUUUUAUAAAGGAAUAAAGUGAGGCACGUGUGCCUUUUUGUCUGUACUUUAUGAAUAAGGAUCGGCUCACUCCGUUCCAGCAGCCGCGGUAAUACGGAGGAUCCGAGCGUUCUCCGGAUUUAUUGGGUUUAAGGGGAGCGUAGAUGGGUUUUUAAGUGAGUUGUGAAAGUUUGCGUCUCAACCGUAAAAUUGCAAUUGAUACUGGCAGUCUUGAGUACAGUUGAGGUAGGCGGAAUUCGUGGUGUAGCGGUGAAAUGCUUAGAUAUCACGAAGAACUCCGAUUGCGAAGGCAGCUUACUAAACUGCCACUGACAUUGAUGCUCGAAAGUGUGGGUAUCAAACAGGAUUAGAUACCCCUGUAGUC